GUUUGCCACAGAAUUUAUAAAGUCUGGUGGUUGCAUUACCUCCUUCCAGUGCCCUGCAAUACAACAGGAGAGAACGCGCCUUGCCUUGCUUUUGUACCGGUCUUUAGACCGAACCAAAACAUGUGGAAUUUGUUCCAAAAAUGUGUUGGGGAGAAAAAGAGCAACAUGCACCUGUGGGGCAGUGCCGCAUUUACAGUGUGCAGCCACACCUGUGUGCUACAUAUGCCAAGAUGACAGCAACUCGUUAUCCCAGAUCUCUUUGCCUACAGCAGCCACGUCAGCGCUCCUGGCUGACACUGACCUGGUAGAACAAUCCUCUAGAUCUGCAGAAUUCUCUGCACUACAACAGGGUCAACAAAAAGGAUGUUCCACCCAAUGUAUUGCAGCAGCCUAAAAAGGCAAAGACAAAGGUGACAAUAUUCAGCACCUUAACAGAGGGAGAGGCAGAAGACCUUGCCAAAGGCUUUGGUGUGGCAUUGGCUAAACAUGUGCCCAAAGAGAAGCUACUUACUGGGAUAUCUGAAGACGACAUUCCAGCAACGCUGCAAAGCAUUGAAAGAAUGAAGAUUAACAUGCAAAACCUAGGACCUGAAUCUGAGCUGGAUUUGGCCACUCACCGCUUUGGGCCCACAGCAGCUGAUGUUUUCUUUUCUUUUUUAGAGGACUCUAUAAAAACUCAGGACCCAGAAGGGACUAACAUUCACACAUACAACACUACCAUCCCAGAAAUGUAAUUAAGAAUUUUUUAAAAAUCAAAAUCCACGUGACACUUUUUGUUUUGUAUUUUAUUUAGCAUUGGAGACAAAUACAUACAUACAAAAAUAAUAGUCUUUAAUAAAUGCGACUUUGUUCAAA